rnacentral:tRNA from 1 species
UGGCUCAGACGGUAAAGCGUCUGUCUGCAGUGCAGGAGAUCCAGGUUCGAUCCCUGG